UACAGAGGGGGGCAAGCGUUGUUCGGAAUUACUGGGCGUAAAGGGCUCGUAGGCGGCCAACUAAGUCAGACGUGAAAUCCCUCGGCUUAACCGGGGAACUGCGUCUGAUACUGGAUGGCUUGAGUUUGGGAGAGGGAUGCGGAAUUCCAGGUGUAGCGGUGAAAUGCGUAGAUAUCUGGAGGAACACCGGUGGCGAAGGCGGCAUCCUGGACCAACACUGACGCUGAGUGAGCGAAAGCCAGGGGAGCAAAGCGGG
rnacentral:rRNA from 1 species